AUUGAACGCUGGCGGCAGGCCUAACACAUGCAAGUCGAACGAGUGGCGGACGGGUGAGUAAUGUCUGGGAAACUGCCCGAUGGAGGGGGAUAACUACUGGAAACGGUAGCUAAUACCGCAUACCAUCAGAUGUGCCCAGAUGGGAUUAGCUGGUUGGUGGGGUAACGGCUCACCAAGGCGACGAUCCCUAGCGGGUCUGAGAGGAUGACCAGCCACACUGGAACUGAGACACGGGCCAGAUGCCUACGGGAGGCAGCAGUGGGGAAUAUUGCAAAAUGGGCGCAAGCCGGAUGCAGCCAGGCCGCGUGUAUGAAGAAGGCCUUCGGGUGGUAAAGUACUUUCAGCGGGGAGGCGGUACCCGCAGAAGAAGCACCGGCUAACUCCGUGCCAGCAGCCGCGGUAAUAC
rnacentral:rRNA from 1 species